rnacentral:piRNA from 1 species
UGUAGAUGUGACUCUGUGCAAGCUUCCC